GCAUUGGGGUUCAGUGAUGGAAUGCUCGCCUGCCACGCGGGCGACCCGGGUUCGAUUUCCGGCCAAUGCA
rfam:Angiostrongylus cantonensis strain Taiwan genome assembly, scaffold: ACAC_contig0012329